rnacentral:rRNA from 1 species
AUAAGAAAGUAAGCAAGGGCAGACGGUGGAUGCCUUGGCUCUCGGAGGCGACGAAGGACGUGAUAAGCUGCGAUAAGCUGGGGGGAGAUGCAAAUAAUCUUUGAUCCUCAGAUUUCCGAAUGGGGCAACCCGGCAGGUUGAAGGCCUGUCAUCCCGUAAUGGGAGGCGAACGUGGGGAACUGAAACAUCUAAGUACCCAUAGGAGGAGAAAAUAAAAAUGAUUCCGCAAGUAGUGGCGAGCGAACGCGGAAGAGCCCAAACCGGUAUUGUUUAGGCAAUACCGGGGUUGUAGGACCACGCUGUGGCAAGAAAUUAGGAAAGUGGAACACUUUGGAAAAAGUGAUCAUAGAGGGUGAAAAUCCCGUACACGACUUUCUAACGAAGCCUAGUGGUAUCCUGAGUAGCGCGGAGCACGAGAAAUUCUGUGUGAAUUAGCGGGGCCCAUCCCGUAAGGCUAAAUACUCCCGAGAGACCGAUAGCGAACCAGUACCGUGAGGGAAAGGUGAAAAGAACCUCGAACAGAGGAGUGAAAUAGACCCUGAACCCGUCUGCCUACAAGCGGUCGGAGCAACGUAAGUUGUGACGGCGUGCCUUUUGCAUAAUGAACCUACGAGUUACUUUCUCCGGCAAGGUUAAGUAUUUCAGAUACGGAGCCGAAGCGAAAGCGAGUCUGAAUAGGGCGAAUUAGUCGGAGGGAGUAGACGCGAAACCAAGUGAUCUACCCAUGGUCAGGUUGAAGGUUAGGUAACACUAACUGGAGGACCGAACCGGUAAGCGUUGAAAAGCUUUCGGAUGAACUGUGGGUAGGGGUGAAAGGCUAAUCAAACUUGGAGAUAGCUCGUACUCCCCGAAAUGCAUUUAGGUGCAGCCUUUAUUUAGUAUAGCAUGAGGUAGAGCGACUGAUUGGAUGCGAGGGCUUCACCGCCUAUCAAGUCCAGAUAAACUCCGAAUGCGUGCUAUAUAUUGAUAAGGAGUGAGGGCGCGGGUGCUAAGGUCCGCGUCCGAGAGGAGAAGAAUCCAGACCAUCAGCUAAGGUCCCCAAAUAACAGUUAAGUUGAACUAACGAAGUCAGACUGCAGAGACAGCUAGGAUGUUGGCUUGGAAGCAGCCAUUCAUUUAAAGAGUGCGUAACAGCUCACUAGUCGAGGAGUUUGGCGUGGAUAAUACUCGGGCAUAAACUGUUUACCGAAGCUAUGGAUCCAGAGUUAUGGAUGGUAGGGGAGCAUUCCAGUGGCGUUGAAGGUGAGGGAUAACCCUUGCUGGAGUAGCUGGAAAAGCAAAUGUAGGUAUAAGUAACGAUAAAGGAAGUGAGAAACUUCCUCGCCGAAAGACUAAGGUUUCCUGAUCAACGUUAAUCGGAUCAGGGUAAGUCGGGACCUAAGGAUAAGCCGAACGGCGAUUCCGAUGGAAGAAUGGUUUAAUAUUCCCAUACUACUUUAUAGAGCGAUGUGGAGACGGAGAAGUGACAGUCCUGCCAACUGACGGAAUAGUUGGUUAAAGGGUGUAGACGUCGAUCGAAGUAGGCAAAUCCGCUUUGAGAGUCGAACCUGACAGUAUGCCGAGUACUUGUACAAGGCAAUAUGGAUGUAAACAGGCUCCCUAGAAAAUCCGCUAAGCAUAUCUAUAGAGUACCCGUACCGUAAACGGACACACGUAGUUGGGUUGAGAAUACUGAGGCGCUCGAGUGAUUCACGGUUAAGGAACUAGGCAAAUUGACCCUGUAACUUCGGGAUAAAGGGUCCCUGUCAGCGAUGGCAGGGCGCAGAGAAUAGGUCCAGGCAACUGUUUAACAAAAACACAUGGCUGUGCGAAAUAGAAAUAUGAAGUAUACAGCCUGACACCUGCCCGGUGCUGGAAGGUUAAGAGGAGAGCUCAUCGCAAGAGAAGGUUUGAAUUGAAGCCCCAGUAAACGGCGGCCGUAACUAUAACGGUCCUAAGGUAGCGAAAUUCCUUGUCGGGUAAGUUCCGACCUGCACGAAUGGUGUAAUGAUCUGGACACUGUCUCAACCGUGAGCUCGGUGAAAUUGUAGUAUCGGUGAAGAUGCCGAUUACCCGCGAUGGGACGAAAAGACCCCGUGAACCUUUACUAUAGCUUUACAUUGAAUUUGGGCAACUAAUGUGUAGGAUAG